ensembl:lncRNA
AUGGAGGUGAGUUUGGGUCUUGCCCUUCCCCUGAAGUUGAGUCCCCAGGGUUGGGAUCAGCCAGGGUACUGGGUCUGGACGUCUGUCUUCCUUCUGACUCUCCUGGACCCAUGGGAGGCCCAGUGGGGACAACAGAGCUCAGCUGCAAGGCACGUGGGCAGUCUCCACAUUUUCUUUCCUCAGAGCAUAUGCAGUGCAGAUAUGGCUGACGCCGUGGAUGCUCAAGUUAACAACUCGGAAUCCUGUCCAUUGCUUCGUGAAACACUGCAAGAGUUGCGUCGCAGAGUCUGUGAGCCCUCUGGCUCCUACAGUCCCCCAGGCCGGAACCAGCCCUUUGACUCCUCCACUUCAAGGGAUUGGUAUGACUGGAUACUUGAGCUAUUUAAAGAGCUCCUGCGGCGACUGCAGCAGAAGUUUCAGAAAGCCCUGGAGUGGCUUCAUCAGAUAGCGGCUGCCUGCCUACAGGGCUUGCGCAUAGCGGCUGAGGCCGUCUGGAGAGUGUUGAAUGAUUUUUGCUCCUCUCUGGAGCAGCUCUUCAGGAGCCUCAUCCAGGUCUAGAAGCCCCAAGGGGUCCCCAGGGAGCUUGGCCUCAUCUAGACGCCUCAAUUUCCCCUUCUCACAGGGCAUCUUCUGAUGCACCCUUUACCCUCCUGCUCACCCUUGACCCAUCCUCAUAGCCUGCCUCACCCCCUCCCCUUCAGGGAGGGCACCACCCAGCCCAUCUAACUCUCCCUGCCUGAAUUUUCCUGCACCAGGUCUGGCCUGCCUGUCACUGUAGUGCUGAUGUGCUAAUAAAAGUCAGUUAACCCAAAUGGAGUGUCUGUGU